rnacentral:rRNA from 1 species
CCUGGCUCACGAUGAACGCUAGCUACAGGCUUAACACAUGCAAGUCGAGGGGCAGCAUGGUCUUAGCUUGCUAAGGCCGAUGGCGACCGGCGCACGGGUGAGUAACACGUAUCCAACCUGCCGUCUACUCUUGGACAGCCUUCUGAAAGGAAGAUUAAUACAAGAUGGCAUCAUGAGUCCGCAUGUUCACAUGAUUAAAGGUAUUCCGGUAGACGAUGGGGAUGCGUUCCAUUAGAUAGUAGGCGGGGUAACGGCCCACCUAGUCUUCGAUGGAUAGGGGUUCUGAGAGGAAGGUCCCCCACAUUGGAACUGAGACACGGUCCAAACUCCUACGGGAGGCAGCAGUGAGGAAUAUUGGUCAAUGGGCGCAGGCCUGAACCAGCCAAGUAGCGUGAAGGAUGACUGCCCUAUGGGUUGUAAACUUCUUUUAUAAAGGAAUAAAGUCGGGUAUGCAUACCCGUUUGCAUGUACUUUAUGAAUAAGGAUCGGCUAACUCCGUGCCAGCAGCCGCGGUAAUACGGAGGAUCCGAGCGUUAUCCGGAUUUAUUGGGUUUAAAGGGAGCGUAGAUGGAUGUUUAAGUCAGUUGUGAAAGUUUGCGGCUCAACCGUAAAAUUGCAGUUGAUACUGGAUAUCUUGAGUGCAGUUGAGGCAGGCGGAAUUCGUGGUGUAGCGGUGAAAUGCUUAGAUAUCACGAAGAACUCCGAUUGCGAAGGCAGCCUGCUAAGCUGCAACUGACAUUGAGGCUCGAAAGUGUGGGUAUCAAACAGGAUUAGAUACCCUGGUAGUCCACACGGUAAACGAUGAAUACUCGCUGUUUGCGAUAUACGGCAAGCGGCCAAGCGAAAGCGUUAAGUAUUCCACCUGGGGAGUACGCCGGCAACGGUGAAACUCAAAGGAAUUGACGGGGGCCCGCACAAGCGGAGGAACAUGUGGUUUAAUUCGAUGAUACGCGAGGAACCUUACCCGGGCUUAAAUUGCAGAUGAAUUACGGUGAAAGCCGUAAGCCGCAAGGCAUCUGUGAAGGUGCUGCAUGGUUGUCGUCAGCUCGUGCCGUGAGGUGUCGGCUUAAGUGCCAUAACGAGCGCAACCCUUGUUGUCAGUUACUAACAGGUUCCGCUGAGGACUCUGACAAGACUGCCAUCGUAAGAUGUGAGGAAGGUGGGGAUGACGUCAAAUCAGCACGGCCCUUACGUCCGGGGCUACACACGUGUUACAAUGGGGGGUACAGAGGGUCGCUACCACGCGAGUGGAUGCCAAUCCCAAAAACCUCUCUCAGUUCGGACUGGAGUCUGCAACCCGACUCCACGAAGCUGGAUUCGCUAGUAAUCGCGCAUCAGCCACGGCGCGGUGAAUACGUUCCCGGGCCUUGUACACACCGCCC